GGCGAACGCUGGCGGCGUGCUUAACACAUGCAAGUCGAACGGUGAUGCUCCAGCUUGCUGGAGUGGAUCAGUGGCGAACGGGUGAGUAACACGUGAGCAACCUGCCCCAGACUCUGGAAUAAGCGCUGGAAACGGCGUCUAAUACUGGAUACGAAACUGGCCCGCAUGGGCAUGGUUUGGAAAGUUUUUCGGUUUGGGAUGGGCUCGCGGCCUAUCAGCUUGUUGGUGAGGUAAUGGCUCACCAAGGCGACGACGGGUAGCCGGCCUGAGAGGGCGACCGGGAACCAGGGGGCUGGGAAACGGAGCAGUGGAAAGCGGGGGGCAGUGGGGGGGCGGAGGGAACAGGGGGGGAAGGUGUGAUAAAGAGGUCCAGCGAGAAGGAAGAAGGUGAAAGGGUAGUAAAAGGAGAUCAGCAGGAAAAUAGCGAAAGAGACGGUACCUGCAGAAUAAGCAACGGCUAACUACGUG
rnacentral:rRNA from 1 species